UCUGUGUCGAGCAGCGUCCUGAUGAUCGAUCGUUAGUCCUUGAGGGCCGUUUAGUUCCUCCCAACACUCCUUUUGUCCCAAAGAUUGCUGUGGAACUAAGGACAAUGGGAGAAGUCUCUGCACACACAGGUAGAGUUUCUGUGUGCUUUAAAGAAACAAAGAGAAGACGAUUAUGGCAUUCGAGUUCUUUAAACAACACUGGGGAAAGCAGAAAGUAUAAGAUACUCUUUUUCACUGACAAAAUUAUUAAUCAAUUAUUCUGAGAUCUGUCAGUAUACUACUAGCGAGGAAGGAAGACUCUGUUCAUUAGAGAUUUGUUUAUUUGAUUGUGUAUGUCACCAUUGCCUGUAUUCUUAUUGAGAAACAUACAUUUUGCUGCUCAAAUGAAGCUGUUCCUUCAGAUGACAGUUAAGAUUAAACAGACAAUCAGAGUUGACUAGCAGUACUAUCCUCUAGGAAUUGGAGCAGGACAGUGCGAACAAGGGAAUUACUCUGGCUUUUCAGAAAAAUUGGAAGACUAUCAGAAAGGACUUUCUUCUAAUUCAUCUAAUGAAAGAAAAAACAUUGAACUGAACAAAGAAGCAUGCCAAAUUCGCUUUGGUGUCUUUGGUCAGUAAUUAAAAUGUUUUGCAACCAACUCCUGGGCUGUGUGAUCAGGGAACAGGAAAUGCUUCUGAAAAGAUAACAGCCCUAGAAUGUGAUUAAUAAUUCAGUUCCAGAGAAGACUGAAAUGCUGAUGGAAACAGCUGUUCAGGUGAGCAGCGUCUGCAAACCAUUCUGUAGGAUAACUCCAUGAAACUGACGAGAUCUCCUGUGGGUGCAAUAAAUUCCCAGCAUUUGACAAAAGAGUGGUGGCCAGUAAAUCAAAGUAUCUGCUGCUCAUGCUUUCUUUUGGCUCUGUGGAUGUGCCUCCAAUUAAGCAUCACCUGAUAAACUCUGAAUUCUUUUUCUUCUUUUUGCCAUCUUUCAGUCAGCAUUAAAAAUUCCUAAAAAUGUGAGAGACUCAAGUUUUUUAUAUAGUUAUUAUAAAUAG
rnacentral:lncRNA from 7 species